UGGAGGGAGGAGGCUCUUGGGUCGUAAACCUCUUUUAUCAGGGAAGAACACAAUGACGGUACCUGAUGAAUCAGCAUCGGCUAACUCCGUGCCAGCAGCCGCGGUAAUACGGAGGAUGCAAGCGUUAUCCGGAAUUAUUGGGCGUAAAGCGUCCGCAGGUGGUUGUGAAAGUUUGCUGUCAAAGCGCGAGGCUCAACUUCGUAACGGCGGUGAAAACUUCACGACUAGAGCUAGGUAGGGGUCACGGGAAUUCCCAGUGUAGCGGUGAAAUGCGUAGAUAUUGGGAAGAACACCAGCGGCGAAAGCGCGUGACUGGGCCUGAGCUGACACUCAUGGACGAAAGCUAGGGGAGCGAAAGGGAUUAGAUACCCCUGUAGUCCUAGCCGUAAACGAUGACAACUAGGUGUUGCCCGUAUCGACCCGGGCAGUGCCGUAGCCAACGCGUUAAGUUGUCCGCCUGGGGAGUACGCACGCAAGUGUGAAACUCAAAGGAAUUGACGGGGGCCCGCACAAGCGGUGGAGUAUGUGGUUUAAUUCGAUGCAACGCGAAGAACCUUACCAAGGCUUGACAUGUGCAGAAUCCUCUUGAAAGGGAGGAGUGCCUUCGGGAGCUGCAACACAGGUGGUGCAUGGCUGUCGUCAGCUCGUGUCGUGAGAUGUUGGGUUAAGUCCCGCAACGAGCGCAACCCUCGUUUCUAGUUGCCAUCAUUGAGUUGGGCACUUUAGAGAGACUGCCGGUGACAAACCGGAGGAAGGUGGGGAUGACGUCAAGUCAGCAUGCCCCUUACGCCUUGGGCUACACACGUACUACAAUGCUACGGACAAAGAGCCGCAAGUUCGCGAGGACAAGCAAAUCUCAUAAACCGUGGCUCAGUUCAGAUUGCAGGCUGCAACUCGCCUGCAUGAAGGCGGAAUCGCUAGUAAUCGCAGGUCAGCAUACUGCGGUGAAUACGUUCCCGGGCCUUGUACACACCGCCCGUCACACCAUGGGAGUUGGCCACGCCCGAAGUCGUUACUCCAACCGUUCGCGGAGGAGGAUGCCGAAGGCAGGGCUGAUGACUGGGGUGAAGUCGUAACAAGGUAGCCGUACCGGAAGGUGUGGCUGGAUCACCUCCUUU
rnacentral:rRNA from 1 species